GUGAGACAGCAUCAGAGCUCGGGGGACAUCUCUCGCUCGGGUGAAAUCUCUCCUGGAAGAUUUCAAGGUGUGUGCAGAGUUCUGAAGAAUAAAAGUCAACAGUCAAGUUCUUCUCCAUAUUCUCCAAAUCUGACGGAGGCGUUCCAUCAGGAAAGGGGGAAUGGUUGGUCGAUGCCUCCAGAAUAAUGAUACCCAUGACCCAGGCACAACAUGCUGACAGGGAAUCGGCUAUGGCAGAAAGCAUCCAUGCCAUCUACGUGAUCCGCCAUGAAGGUUCAGAAGCUACUGACAGUCCUGAGGACAUCGGAAUCAUUUUCAAAGGGGUGACUGCAUUUGGCUGCUUGCCAAACAUCCUACCCAGGCUCCGCCCUCGCAGUGACGCAACACCUUCGGCUCUGCUACACACACUCAGGAAAACUUUGUUCAGGUACUUUCGGGUUCCCUCCACAGCAGGAAACUCCACCCACUUUGUCGGGAAGCAAUCGACUUUCAGCAUCACCAACCGUCCUGGCUAGAGGCGUGUUCAAGGAAGUGACAAGGUUUGAGCAGAGACGCUCUAUUGGGACUAAGAAAAUGUUUGGUUUAAACUUUGGCUCAGCCUGUUCGGCCCUCGACCAGUAGCAAAUCAUGAGAGUUGGGUCAACCAUGCCGUUUGAGAAUGUUGUUAUGCUCUUGGUCAGACCAAGUCUCGAAGAGAUUUGUAAGUCAUGAU